rnacentral:rRNA from 1 species
GAUCUUUAUUUUUAAUAUUUAUAAAUUAAAAAGAAUUUUAUAAUUUAUAUUUUAUUUAAAAAUUUUAUUGGGGUGAUAUUAAAAUUUAAAUAACUUUUAAAUUUAAUUAACAUUAAUAUAUGAAUUUAUGAUCCAAUUUUAUUGAUUAAAAAUUUAAGUUACCUUAGGGAUAACAGCGUAAUUUUUUUUUAGAGUUCAUAUCGACAAAAAAGAUUGC